rnacentral:sRNA from 1 species
GAAGACGUAAUUAAAAAAGGGCGCUGUUA